rnacentral:rRNA from 1 species
GACGAACGCCGGCGGCGUGCUUAACACAUGCAAGUCGAACGGAAAGGCCCUGCUUUUGUGGGGUGCUCGAGUGGCGAACGGGUGUGUAACACGUGAGUAACCUGCCCUUGACUUUGGGAUAACUUCAGGAAACUGGGGCUAAUACCGGAUAGGAGCUCCUGCUGCAUGGUGGGGGUUGGAAAGUUUCGGCGGUUGGGGAUGGACUCGCGGCUUAUCAGCUUGUUGGUGGGGUAGUGGCUUACCAAGGCUUUGACGGGUAGCCGGCCUGAGAGGGUGACCGGCCACAUUGGGACUGAGAUACGGCCCAGACUCCUACGGGAGGCAGCAGUGGGGAAUAUUGCACAAUGGGCGGAAGCCUGAUGCAGCAACGCCGCGUGCGGGAUGACGGCCUUCGGGUUGUAAACCGCUUUCGCCUGUGACGAAGCGUGAGUGACGGUAAUGGGUAAAGAAGCACCGGCUAACUACGUG